GGAUCGAUAGCUCAGUGGUAGAGGUUAGUUUGACUGCCAAGCCAUUCACUUAGUCCAUCAAUCCUAACAUUGUUUUCAGCGGGAGAUUGCAGAUCUUCAGGCCGCGUGUUCGAACCACGCUCGGUCCU